rnacentral:rRNA from 1 species
UACAGAGGUCUCAAGCGUUGUUCGGAUUCAUUGGGCGUAAAGGGUGCGUAGGUGGCGCGGUAAGUCGGAUGUGAAAUCUCAGGGCUCAACCCUGAAACUGCAUUCGAUACUGCCUUGCUCGAGGACUGGAGAGGAGAUUGGAAUUCACGGUGUAGCAGUGAAAUGCGUAGAUAUCGUGAAGAACACCAGUGGCGAAGGCGGCUCACUGGCCCGGUACUAACGCUGAGGUGCGAAAGCGUGGGGAGCAAACAGG